rnacentral:rRNA from 1 species
UACGUAGGUGGAAAGCGUUAUCCGGAUUUAUUGGGCGUAAAGGGAACGCAGGCGGUCUUUUAAGUCUGAUGUGAAAGCCUUCGGCUUAACCGGAGUAGUGCAUUGGAAACUGGGAGACUUGAGUGCAGAAGAGGAGAGUGGAACUCCAUGUGUAGCGGUGAAAUGCGUAGAUAUAUGGAAGGACACCAGUGGCGAAAGCGGCUCUCUGGUCUGUAACUGACGCUGAGGUUCGAAAGCGUGGGUAGCAAACAGG